rnacentral:rRNA from 1 species
AUUGAACGCUGGCGGCGGCCUAACACAUGCAAGUCGAACGGUAACAGGGAUCAGCUUGCUGAUUCGCUGGCGAGUGGCGGACGGGUGAGUAAUGUCUGGGAAACUGCCUGAUGGAGGGGGAUAACUACUGGAAACGGUAGCUAAUACCGCAUAACGUCGCAAGACCAAAGAGGGGGACCUUCGGGCCUCUUGCCAUCGGAUGUGCCCAGAUGGGAUUAGCUAGUAGGUGGGGUAACGGCUCACCUAGGCGACGAUCCCUAGCUGGUCUGAGAGGAUGACCAGCCACACUGGAACUGAGACACGGUCCAGACUCCUACGGGAGGCAGCAGUGGGGAAUAUUGCACAAUGGGCGCAAGCCUGAUGCAGCCAUGCCGCGUGUAUGAAGAAGGCCUUCGGGUUGUAAAGUACUUUCAGCGGGGAGGAAGGGAGUAAAGUUAAUACCUUUGCUCAUUGACGUUACCCGCAGAAGAAGCACCGGCUAACUCCGUG